GAAGUCUGCCAGACCGCCGCUGGUGCAAUCUGGGAAACCAGGCACUGGAGGAACGUCCGGACUGCAUAGGGCAGCGUAGCAGCUAAUGGCUGUCCACCGUGAGGUGAGGAUCAGAGCAACAGAGACGAGUCGGGGGCGUGCCACGCCACCAGGGGUGUUCUAUGGGUCGCCAGCGCAAGCUGGUGCCGAAUGGCGCAAGCCAGUCGGUUCACGGCGUAAGCCGGGAAAACCCAUAGCCGCCCGGUGCGCGGAACGCGCCCCCGGGUGAAACGGGCAAUCUCUACGCGCAGCAAUACCAAGUAGGCACACGUUGACGGGGCCCCCGGAGUGUGCGGGUAGGUAGCAUCGAGCCG
rnacentral:RNase_P_RNA from 1 species